rnacentral:rRNA from 1 species
AUUGAACGCUGGCGGCAGGCCUAACACAUGCAAGUCGAACGAGUGGCGGACGGGUGAGUAAUGUCUGGGAAACUGCCUGAUGGAGGGGGAUAACUACUGGAAACGGUAGCUAAUACCGCAUACCAUCAGAUGUGCCCAGAUGGGAUUAGCGAGGUGGUGGGGUAAAGGCUCAACAAGGCGACGAUCCCUAGCUGGUCUGAGAGGAUGACCAGACAAACUGGAACUGAGACACGGUCCAGACUCCUACGGGAGGCAGCAGGGGGGAAGAUUGAACAAUGGGCGCAAGCCUGAUGCAGCCAUGCCGCGUGGAUGAAGAAGGCCUUCGGGUUGUAAAGUACGUGCAGCGGGGAGGCGUUACCCGCAGAAGAAGCACCGGCUAACUCCGUGCCAGCCGCCGCGGUAAUAC